UACAGAGGGGGCAAGCGUUGUUCGGAAUUACUGGGCGUAAAGGGCGCGUAGGCGGCCUGCUAAGUCGAACGUGAAAUCCCCGGGCUCAACCCGGGAACUGCGUCCGAUACUGGUUGGCUUGAAUCCGGGAGAGGGAUGCGGAAUUCCAGGUGUAGCGGUGAAAUGCGUAGAUAUCCGGAGGAACACCGGUGGCGAAGGCGGCUUCCUGGACCGACACUGACGCUGAGGCGCGAAAGCUAGGGGAGCGAACAGG
rnacentral:rRNA from 1 species